rnacentral:rRNA from 1 species
CAGCGCCGGACACAUGCAUGUCGAGCGAGGAGCUUGCUCCAUACAGGCGAACGGGUGAGUAACACGUGAGCAAUCUGCCCUUCACUUCNGGGAUAACUCCGGGAAACCGGUGCUAAUACCGAAUACGACCACUUCAGGCAUCUGAUGGUGGUGGAAAGUUCCGGCGGUGGAGGAUGAGCUCGCGGCCUAUCAGCUUGUUGGUGGGGUAACGGCCCACCAAGGCAACGACGGGUAGCCGGCCUGAGAGGGUGACCGGCCACACUGGGACUGAGACACGGCCCAAACUCCUACGGGAGGCAGCAGUGGGGAAUCUUGCGCAAUGGGCGAAAGCCUGACGCAGCCAUGCCGCGUGGAUGAUGAAGGUCUUAGGAUUGUAAAAUCCUUUCAGCGGGGACGAUAAUGACGGUACCCGCAGAAGAAGCCCCGGCUAACUUCGUGCCAGCAGCCGCGGUAAU